AAGUUUUGUUGUUAUUGGUUGGGUAGGACUACACUAAAGAAGCUGUUAAUGUUCAAAACUUCUACAAUGUGUUACUUGGAAAUGAAAGUGGCGUCACAGGAGGAAAUGGCAAAGUUGUGAAA
rnacentral:sRNA from 1 species